rnacentral:rRNA from 1 species
UACAGGGGGUGCAAACGUUGCUCGGAAUCAUUGGGCGUAAAGCGCACGUAGGCGGUCUGUUAUGUCGGAUGUGAAAGCCCUUGGCUUAACUGAGGAAGUGCAUCCGAAACUGGCAGGCUAGAGUACUAAAGAGGGUCGCGGAAUUCCCGGUGUAGAGGUGAAAUUCGUAGAUAUCGGGAGGAACACCGGUGGCGAAGGCGGCUACCUGGCCCACUCUUGACGCUGAGGCGCGAAAGCUAGGGGAGCAAACGGG